GCGGCAUGCCUAACACAUGCAAGUCGAACGGAAAUUUAGCUUCGGUUAAAUUUUAGUGGCAAACGGGUGAGUAACGCGUGGGAAUCUACCCUCUGGUGGGGGAUAACUAAAGGAAACUUUAGCUAAUACCGCAUAUUCUUGGAAACAAGGAAAGAUUUAUCGCCAGAGGAGGAGCCUGCGUCAGAUUAGGUAGUUGGUAGGGUAAUGGCCCACCAAGCCUGUGAUCUGUAGCUGGUCUGAGAGGAUGAUCAGCCACACUGGGACUGAGACACGGCCCAGACUCCUACGGGAGGCAGCAGUGGGGAAUAUUGGACAAUGGGGGAAACCCUGAUCCAGCAAUGCCGCGUGAAUGAAGAAGGCCUUCGGGUUGUAAAGUUCUUUCGCCUGUGACGAUAAUGACGGUAGCAGGAAAAGAAGUCCCGGCUAACUCCGUGCCAGCCGCCGCCGUAA
rnacentral:rRNA from 1 species